rnacentral:lncRNA from 1 species
UAUCCCCAAGACGGAGGGACACCGAGAAGACUCCAAACAAACAGGCCUUCUAAAUCUCCCCAGUUUACCACAAUCAGCUUAUAUCUGUCUUCUAUCAUAUCUUUCGACAGCUUUCCACUCUUCAUCAAACCUACCAUAAAAACACUCAGGCUUACCUGUUUCUUUGGGUCUUCAUUUCAUUAUGAAGCUUCCCAUGUCACGUAAAACUUACAUCGAAUAAGUUUGUAUGCUUUUCUCCUGUUAAUCUGCCUCUGUCUGCUUAAUUUUCAGACCCAGCCAGAGAUUCUAAGACAGUCAAGGAAAACUUUUUCCUCCUCUACAGUUUCUGGAGCCCAAGAGCCACCCUCAGCUGAAGACAUCUUGCUGGUCCAGAAGCCACAGUUACAAGAUCCUGGACCUCUGACCAGAGCCAGCGGAAGGACCUUGCGCUUCCAUUUCAAUAUUGGAGAUUUCGCCUUUCCCUGGGUGGUGUGGCAUUCAUUCCUCAGAGCUCUGGUAGCGAAUUCCUUCCCCUUCUCCUUUCUGCACGGAUUGCUGUUAAUAAAACUAGGCAUUUCCUGCUUCACCCAUAGAUGGCGC